CUCCUCCUCCAAAGAAGUCACCUCCUCCUCCUCCUCCAACGAAGUCACCUCCUCCUCCUCCACCAAAGAAGUCACCUCCUCCUCCAAAGAAGUCACCUCCUCCUCCUCCACCAAAGAAGUCACCUCCUCCUCCUCCUCCUGCAACGAAGUCACCUCCUCCUCCAAAGAAGUCACCUCCUCCUCCUCCACCAAAGAAGUCACCUCCUCCUCCUCCUCCAACGAAGUCACCUCCUCCUCCAAAGAAGUCACAUCCUCCUCCUCCACCAAAGAAGUCACCUCCUCCUCUUCCUCCUCCAACGAAGGCACCUCCUCCUCCAAAGUAGUCACCACCAACCUAUGUUGACCAAAACAAACACUAUUUGUACUAGGUUGUGUAAGCUAAUAAAGCCUUAUAAAGAAUAAUUGGUGCUGAAGUUAUCAGAUGCCAUCGUCAGGCGUUGUUUAUUACAAUGGUUCAACGCCAAUCAAGGCAACCUACUUAAUUGAGACAAGUGGGCAUAUAUAAUAUACAAUAAAGGACAAAAUAUGAUUUUACUCUCUUUAUUUAAGAUAUAAUAAAUUUGUGUUUCCUAUACGUCGAGCCUAUUUGUUCAUCAAUACAAGUAUGCUUAAGGUUUCUUUUA